AUUCCUAACUGGCAGGGUGAGUACCAUGAUUAAGAUGGUGGUAUCCCAAGGGAAAAGCUCUUCCACUGCACUUUGGAUGGGUUGGCUGUUGUAAUUCUCUCAAAUGUGGGAACUUAACUGCAUAAUUUAUAGUAGUGGAGGACUACAUUUGUGCUGUUCCUUU